rnacentral:rRNA from 1 species
UACAGAGGGGGCAAGCGUUAUUCGGAAUUAUUGGGCGUAAAGGGCGCGUAGGCGGCUUGGCAAGUGGAUGGUGAAAUCCCUCGGCUUAACCGAGGAACUGCCGUCCAAACUGCUUCGCUUGAGACCGGGAGAGGUGAGUGGAAUUCCCAGUGUAGCGGUGAAAUGCGUAGAUAUUGGGAGGAACACCAGAGGCGAAGGCGGCUCACUGGACCGGUACUGACGCUGAUGCGCGAAAGCGUGGGGAGCAAACGGG